AAAAGGACGAUACUGAACAAUUUUUAUUGAAAUAUGGGAUCUUAGUGAACUCUUUUUAAAGGUGGGACUAUUCGGAACCAAAGCACCAUAAAAAGGGACCAAAUGAUGUAUUUAACCUUAAAUAAAAGUUGAUCGAGUGGGACCACAGUGGGUUAAAUGAAUGGUUGCUUUUAGUGUUGGAUACUACGGCCCACAGGUUGGGAAAUUGGGUGGUUUGUAAAUAGAAAAAAAAAAUAAGUGUUUGGUUUGCAAAGAGAAGUCCACGUGAAAUUGAGGGAAACGUGCAUGUAUUUGAUUAAGAAGGGAACAAUGCAAUAAGGAAGUGUUAGCCAAACAUGAGAAAAGAAUGGGGAAAAGAAACAAAGAAUGUCAUCUAUAAGGGAUUUAAGAUCCUCUGGGCCAAAGAAGAUUAAGAAUAUAGAAGAUAUAUUUAGGGGUUAGGGUUUGGUUCUUGAUGAAUAAAUACAUAAGGAGGGAUUGGAGAAAAGAGAAAAGAAUAGAGAGAGAGAGGAGAAAACUGUGAGAGAAGGUAGAAACAAAAGAAGGAAAUCAUGAAGUGCACCGUGAGAAGCUUGGAGAAGAAACAAAAAGCUUGGAGAAGGGAUGUUGAGGCUGCAGACGUGAAGCAAAGGAUCCAUCCAUGUAAGGGAUGUUAACUUGGGUUUAUCUUUUGAGGUGCAUGUUGGUUGGUUUGUGUUUUCCUUCGUUUCUAUUUUGUUCUUUCUAUCAUGGCGGAUGUAAUACAUAGGCAUAGUUCACGUUCUUUGUCCCUUUGACAAUGGGUUUUCUUGAUUUUCACUCCUAAACCCUAA
rnacentral:lncRNA from 1 species